rnacentral:rRNA from 1 species
UCAAUYGUGAAAUCCGCGAACGGCUCAUUAUAACAGCCUAUAAUUCACUUGAUCUUGACAUAUCCUACUUGGAUAACUGUGGUAAUUCUAGAGCUAAUACAUGCACAAGAGCUUCGUCCCUAAAGGGCGGAGUGCAUUUAUUAGAAGAAAACCAAGCGGCCUCGGCCGUUUAGCGUUGACUCAGAAUAACUAAGCUGAUCGUAUGGUCUAGUACCGGCGACGUGUCUUUCAAGUAUCUGCCUUAUCAACUUUCGAUGGUAGUGUAUCUGACUACCAUGGUGGUGACGGGUAACGGAGGAUAAGGGUUCGACUCCGGAGAAGGGGCCUGAGAAAUGGCCACUACGUCUAAGGAUGGCAGCAGGCGCGCAAAUUACCCACUCUCGGCGUGAGGAGGUAGUGACGAGAAAUAACGAGACCGUUCUCUACGAGGCCGGUCAUCGGAAUGGGUACAAUCUAAACCCUUUAACGAGUAUCUAUGAGAGGGCAAGUCUGGUGCCAGCAGCCGCGGUAAUUCCAGCUCUCAAAAUGCAUAGAAUUAUUGCUGCGGUUAAAAAGCUCGUAGUUGGAUCUGUGCCGGUGUCGGGGUCGCUGCCUUAACAGGUGACGUACUCCGAUGUCGGCUUGAUGCCGGUUGUACCCAAUAUUAGCUUCAUCGCUGGUAUUGGGCGGCUGGCGAGUUUACUUUGAACAAAUCAGAGUGCUCAACACAGGCGUCUCGCCUGAAUGUUCUUGCAUGGAAUAAUAGAAGAGGAUUUCGGUUCUAUUUUAUUGGUUUUAUAGACUGAAAUAAUGGUUAACAGAGAGCAAACGGGGGGCAUUCGUACCCGCCUGCGUGAGAGG